rfam:Picea glauca, whole genome shotgun sequence.
ACACUAAUACAACAUAGCGUUAAUGCAUAUAAUCCCAUUAUAACUCUGAAAUUAAGCACACUCAGGCUAGAGUCAUAUCGGGAUGGGUGACCGCUCGAGAAGUCCUAGUGUUUAUUGCC